UCCUACGGGGGGCAGCAGUGAGGAAUAUUGGUCAAUGGGCGGGAGCCUGAACCAGCCAAGUCGCGUGAGGGAAGACGGUCCUACGGAUUGUAAACCUCUUUUGCCGGGGAGCAACGGGGUCCUUGCGAGGGCCCGAUGAGAGUACCCGGAGAAAAAGCAUCGGCUAACUCCGUGCCAGCAGCCGCGGUAAUACGGAGGAUUCAAGCGUUAUCCGGAUUUAUUGGGUUUAAAGGGUGCGUAGGCGGUCGGAUAAGUUAGAGGUGAAAUCCCGAGGCUCAACUUCGGAAUUGCCUCUGAUACUGUUC
rnacentral:rRNA from 1 species